UUUAAAUAUGUUACAGUCUUUAUUCAUCAUGGUUGGUCACUCUAUAUAUAAUUGUUGCCUAAAGUAACAAAUCUGUAGCUCGAGAUGCAUCACACAGUUGGUAUUGUGACGGAAUGCACGCACACUCGAACAGUUCAUUGUAAAUUAAGUGCCCUUCAUUAUUCUGGAUAUGAUCACACAGCGCAUCGGUUAGUUUACUUUCUCAAAGUAUUCCUUCGAGCCCUCCGGAUUGGGUUUAAUCUGCAAUAAAAGUCAUGGCCAUUAAAACAAGCAAUGUAGCGUAUCUGAGCCCAUUUCAGAUUGAAUAACUACUAAUUUAUUCACAUGAAAAGACUGGACACUUUCUAGAGUCAAUUUCACUGCCAAUUAUACAGAAUUUAGGAAACCAUAAAGAUACAUACCAUUCAAUAUAUCUGUACAUUUCAAUGGCCUCUGCCCUUAAAGACAGGAAGAGGCAAAGACCUCUAAUGUAAAGUAUAAAACUGGAGCUACAAGUGCUGUACAUUUAUUAACAUUUAAAGUGCCAUGUAGCUGCAUGAGCGGUUUACGUUUCAGCAGAUGCAGAACAUCUCUGGUAC